rnacentral:rRNA from 1 species
CUCAGGGAGGUAGUGACAAGAAAUAACAACACUGGAAAUUUUAUUUCCAGUGAUUGGAAUGAUGGGAAUUUAAACCCCUUUCAGAGUAACAAUUGGAGGGCAAGUCUGGUGCCAGCAGCCGCGGUAAUUCCAGCUCCAAUAGCGUAUAUUAAAGUUGUUGCAGUUAAAAAGCUCGUAGUUGGAUGUCUGCUGGAAGCAAUCAGUCCGCCCUAUUUGUAGGGUGUGCACUUGAUGAAUUCUGGCAUCUAUGUCCUAAUGUGAUAGAUACGGCGGUGUAUAUGGGUUAAUCCUAUAUACCCGUUUGUAUAUUAUAUUGGGAUAAUACCGUUACUUUGAGAAAAUUAGAGUGUUUGAAGCAGGCUAAUUGCCUUGAAUACUGCAGCAUGGAAUAACAAUAUAGGAUUUCGGUUCUAUUUUGUUGGUUUCUAGGACUGAAAUAAUGAUUAAUAGGGACAGUUGGGGGCAUUCGUAUUUAACUGUCAGAGGUGAAAUUCUUAGAUUUGUUAAAGACGAACUACUGCGAAAGCAUUUGCCAAAGAUGUUUUCAUUAAUCAAGAACGAAAGUUAGGGGCUCGAAGACGAUCAGAUACCGUCGUAGUCUUAACCAUAAACUAUGCCGACUAGAGAUAGGAAACUGUCAUUUUCUGACUU